rnacentral:rRNA from 1 species
AACGAACGCUGGCGGCAUGCCUAACACAUGCAAGUCGAACGAAGCCUUCGGGCUUAGUGGCGCACGGGUGCGUAACGCGUGGGAAUCUGCCCCUUGCUUCGGAAUAACAGUUAGAAAUGACUGCUAAUACCGGAUGAUGUCUUCGGACCAAAGAUUUAUCGGCAAGGGAUGAGCCCGCGUAGGAUUAGGUAGUUGGUGGGGUAAAGGCCUACCAAGCCGACGAUCCUUAGCUGGUCUGAGAGGAUGAUCAGCCACACUGGGACUGAGACACGGCCCAGACUCCUACGGGAGGCAGCAGUGAGGAAAUUUGGACAAUGGACGCAAGUCUGAUCCAGCAAUGCCGCGUGAGUGAUGAAGGCCUUAGGGUUGUAAAGCUCUUUUACCAGGGAUGAUAAUGACAGUACCUGGAGAAUAAGCUCCGGCUAACUCCGUGCCAGCCGCCGCAGUAAAAC